UUCGCCCUUUUCCGGUUGAUCCUGCCGGACCUGACUGCUAUCGGAUUGAUACUAAGCCAUGCGAGUCAUUGUAGUAAUACAAGGCAGACGGCUCAGUAACGCGUAGUCAACCUAACCUAUGGACGGGAAUAACCUCGGGAAACUGAGUAUAAUGCCCGAUAGAACAUUAUGCCUGGAAUGGUUUAUGUUCCAAAUGAUUUAUCGCCGUAGGAUGGGACUGCGGCCUAUCAGUUUGUUGGUGAGGUAAUGGCCCACCAAGACUAUUACAGGUACGGGCUCUGAGAGGAGUAGCCCGGAGAUGGGUACUGAGACACGGACCCAGGCCCUAUGGGGCGCAGCAGGCGAGAAAACUUUGCAAUGUGCGAAAGCACGACAAGGUUAAUCCGAGUGGUUUCUGCUAAAGGAACCUUUUGUUAGUCCUAGAAACACUAACGAAUAAGGGGUGGGCAAGUUCUGGUGUCAGCCGCCGCGGUAAAACCAGCACCUCAAGUGGUCAGGAUGAUUAUUGGGCCUAAAGCAUCCGUAGCCGGCUCUGUAAGUUUUCGGUUAAAUCUGUACGCUCAACGUACAGGCUGCCGGGAAUACUGCAGAGCUAGGGA
rnacentral:rRNA from 1 species